AUGCCAGAAGAAUGGAGAUGGAGUAUAUUUGUACCAAUCUUCAAGAACAAGGGGGAUGUUCAGAGUUGUACUAAUUACCGUGGAAUUAAGCUGAUGAGCCAUACAAUGAAGCUAUGGGAGAGAGUCAUUGAGCACCGCUUAAAAAGAAUGACAAGCGUGACCAAAAACCAGUUUGGUUUCAUGCCUGGGAGGUCGACCAUGGAAGCCAUUUUCUUGGUACGACAGCUUAUGGAGAGAUAUAGGGAGCAAAAGAAGGACUUGCAUAUGGUGUUCAUUGACUUGGAGAAGGCCUAUGAUAAGAUACCGCGGAAUGUCAUGUGGUGGGCCUUGGAGAAACACAAAGUCCCAGCAAAGUACAUUACCCUCAUCAAGGACAUGUACGAUAAUGUUGUGACAAGUGUUCGAACAAGUGAUGUCGACACUGAUGACUUCCCGAUUAAGAUAGGACUGCAUCAGGGGUCAGCUUUGAGCCCUUAUCUUUUUGCAUUGGUGAUGGAUGAGGUCACAAGGGAUAUACAAGGAGAUAUCCCAUAG
rnacentral:rRNA from 1 species